GGGGGGGAAGUGGGACGUUGUUGAGGGAUAAAAGCUAAAUAGAAGUAGAAAUCAGACCCCUUUGAACGGCAUUUACAAUAGGCAUACGUUAGCUUUACGAACAGGGAGACUUGGAGAGGUGGCGGGUCAGGAUGUGAGAGACAGGAUGGGGAUGACACACUGGCUGAGAGGGAGGAUGUGAUACGUUCUGGAGGAGGUAAAAGCUAAAUAAAAAUAGAAAUCAGAACCCAUAUUAACUGAAUUUACAUAAAGUACACGUUAGGGGUGGGAUCAGGGAGACGAUAUAUAUAGAGAGGAUAGUAUGGCUUAGAAGAGUGGCAGACGAGGCCGUGACAGAUGGGGUAGUUUGGGAAGGAGAGGGGCAGUUUCUUUUUCAAUAUUUGGCAUAGGUGGGACGUACAUCUUAGGCAGAACAAUGAGGAAGAGGAGGAGAGAAGCGAAAGAAAAGGUAGAUGUGCGAUGAGAGACGUUUAGCAUUGACGAAUCGGAAAUAGGAGAGAAAAGUAAGUACUGGCUGUUUGAUGACGAGGCCUGAGAAAGAGAAAAUCCACGUAGAGUGUGUGUGUGUGUGUGGAGGAGGGAAGGGAGAAGGAGGGGGAGGCAGUGAAGAACAAAGAUGAAGAGGAGAAAAGCUGCAGAAGAGGUCAGUGAAAGAGGGAUAAUUGAGGUAGUGAGGUGAAGGGAGUCGGGGGUAAAGAGGAGUACAGUUUCUUCUUCAAUAUUUGGUAUAGUGGGAACAGACAUCGCAAGCAGAACAAAAUGAGGAGGAGGAAAGAAGCUGCAGAGGAGGCCAGUAAGUAUAUAGGAUGUGAAAGGCUCCUGGAAGUCGGGGAAAAGAGAGGGGCAGCUUUUUUUUCAAUAUUUGGCAUAGGUGGGACGGACAUCUUAGGCAGAACAAUAAUGAUGAAGAGAGAAGCAACAGAAGAGGUCAAUGAGGGGGGAUAAAUGGAUGUGAAAGGCUGCUGGAAGUCGGGGAAAGGAGAGAGGCAGCUUCUUUUUCAAUAUUUGGCAUAGGUGGGACGUACAUCUUAGACAGAACAAUGAGGAAGUGGAGGAGAGAAGCGAAAGAAAAGGCCAAUGAGGAGGGAUAAAGGAUAGGGGGAGGGAGUAGAGGAAAAGACCGGCUCCCUAUUCAAUACUUGCCAUAAGAGAGGUCACAGAAAAUUCAUCUAUUGUGUGUAUGUUUGUGUGUAUGGAGGGGGGUGAAGGGGAGGAGAACAAAGAUGAUGAUAAUUGAAGAGGUAGAAGUGGAUAUUGAGGGAUAAUGGAUGGGGUGGCGGGUGAAGGGAGUAGGGGCAAAAAAGACCGGAUCCCUAUUCAGUAUUUUGCAUAGGGGAGAAGGCGAGAGAAGAAAACAUUGAAACUGAUAAGAGGGAAGACCAGUUUGACACGACUCACAGCCACCACCACCACCACCACCCAGGCCGCCUCCGGGUCACACACACACACACACACACACACACACUCUCUCUCUCUCUCUCUCUCUCGUCUGAAGGAGUGGCCGGCGUUGUUAAUAUUGCAUGCAUCCCGCCUAAUCCCUCCCCUCUUCCCUCCUCCUCCUCCUCCUCCUUUCUUUCCUAAUUCUCAUGCCAUCGCUAUUGCAUCAAAGGUAUUAUUAUUUCUUUUCCUUGUAUGUGGAUGGCGUCACUUCACUAACAUCCUCUCUUGUAGUGUUCAAAUAGCCUAGCCUAGCACAACGAUGUUUGAUGCGACCUUGCCUCUUCCUGUGCCGCCGCGUGCAAUCCCUGGCUCGCUCACUCGCUCCUCCUCCUCCUCUUCUUCCUCUCUUCCUCCCUCCCUGCCUCAAGGUAAAUGUCAGUCCUUGUCUUCCUCCUCUUCCUUCCCAGCCACUUUCUCCUCACAGUGAUAGGCUGAUGGGGGCAACAAAGCUCCUUCUAAUGCCCCGUAGCUCAUCGUCUCCGGCUGGUCUUGUCGCUACUCAGCCUCUCAAACAUUUCGGGGCUAACACACACUCUCACAUUUGCUAAGGCUUUCGUAGGAAUCUGGGGCAUUUGCAGAGGUAGUUUUAUGGCCCUUCUGGUAGUUUCAUCACUCUUUUGUGCCACGGACCCACAAAAACACUCAUUGGAACGCGAUUGGUCUCCUUUUCGGCCUUUGGAAAGAGUUGCUGUGGGAGGCGAAACCGUCUGAGAGUGCCAACCUUAAGUUACACACACUCACACAUUCGAUAAGGCUUUCGUCGAGGUUGUGGUGUUAGUAUUUCCAUGGGUAGUUUUUUGACCCUAGCGAUAACUUGACAAGGCUUCUGCUGUACCAUGAACGUAAAAACACAAUCUCCCACUCUCCCACAUUUGAUAAGGCUUUCGUUGAGGUUGUGGUGUUUGUAUUUCCAUGAGUAGUUUUUUUUACCCUAGCGAUAACUUGACAAGGCUUCUGCUGUACCAUGAACGUAUAAAAAACACAUAAUCUCCCACUCUCCUACAUUAGAUAAGGCUUUCGUCGAGGUUAUGGUGUUUGUAGUCUAUUUCCAUGGGUAGUUUUUUUUACCCUAGUGAUAGCUUGACAAGGCUUCUGCUGCACCGUGAACGUAAAAACACAAUCUCCCACUCUCCCACAUUUGAUAAGGCUUUCGUCGAGGUUGUGGUGUCAGUAUUUCCAUGGGUAGUUUUUUUUACCCUCGUGAUAACUUGACAAGGCUUCUGCUGCAACAUGAACGUAUUAACACAAUCUCCCACAUUUGAUAAGGCUUUCGUCGAGGUUUUGGUGUUAGUAUUCACAUGGGGGGUAGUUUUCUGACCCCAGUGAUAGUUUGACAAGGCUUCUGCUGCAUCAUGAACGUAAAAACACAAUCUCCCACUCUCCCACAUUUGAUAAGGCUUUCGUUGAGAUCGUGGUGUUUGUAUUUCCAUGAGUAGUUUUUUUACCCUAGCGAUAACUUGACAAGGCUUCUGCUGUACCAUGAACGUAUAAAAAACACAUAAUCUCCCACUCUCCCACAUUAGAUAAGGCUUUCGUCGAGGUCGUGGUGUUUGUAUUUCCAUGAGUAGUUUUUUUUACCCUAGCGAUAACUUGACAAGGCUUCUGCUGUACCGUGAACGUAAAAAACACAUAUAUGGUCGGCUUUAUAAGACACUUUGGCUUCUCACAUCAGCUGUUUAUAAAGGUCAGAAAGGGGGUCAGUCGGGUUCUAAUGAGUGUUUCUUUAGGUUCAUGGUACAGAGGAAGGGUCAAAUUGCCACUAGGGUCAUACAACUACUCCUGUAAAUGCCCAAAACUCCUACGAAAGCCUUGUCAAAUAUGUGUUCUUGGGCCGCGAAAUGUCUUAUAAUACGGCCGAUAAUCUCCCACUUUUCCACAUUAGAUAAGGCUUUCGUUGAGGUUGUGGUGUUAGUAUUUACAUGGGGGUAGUUUUCUGACCCUAGUAAUAGUUUGACAAGGCUUCUGCUGCACCAUGAAUGUGACAAACACUCAUCAGAACCCGACUCAUCUCAUUUAUGGCCCUUGGAAAUAGGUGUGAGAGCCCAAAGCGUCUGAAAUAUGGGCCUUAGUGAAUGUUAAUGUAUCAUCGCCGUGUAAAAAGAAGAGCAAUAUCAGAGCACAGCAAGUAAUAGGCUGCGAUUAGGGGACGAAACGACGAAAAGAAGACAUUUAUCAUUUUCUCUUUCUUCCAUCUUUCUUUCUUCCGUCAGAGCAGCCUUGCCAAAUUACCGUACUCAUCGCAUUGCAUUUUCGUAGUGUCUGACCGAUAACUAUGGCCAAAAAAAAAAAAAAAACAUCGAUAAGUAACAGUUUUGACGCCAACUUUAUUUUUCUAUCGUUAUUUGUGAAGGUACGAGAGUUUGAGGCUUAAAAAUGAUAAAUACAAUGUGAUGUGUACGAUAAUCUGACAACGCUGCAUCAGAGAGCUCCGCAAAUACUAAGCUACGAGGAGGGGACGGAACGACGCAUAAAAUAAGCCAUAAAUCGUUUCUUCCACCAAAGUACGUCCCUCAAACGACUUAAUUGGUAUUCAUUUAGAUAUUUCAGUCUCCGGGUGGACGGUCAGCUAGCGGUAUAUUGCUUGGUCUUAAGUGGUGUUGAGUUGCCAAGAUGCGUCGCUGUUUGGUGAGCGUGACGGGCAUGCAAAUAUUAGCAGGGCCCUUCUUCCUCAUAACGGGCCUUUUCUUACAGUGAAACAAACAAUAAGAUACAUAACAACAAAAUGAUGAGGGAAUUUUGUCAUUGGUUUAGCUAUCAUGUUUACGAUUUUUACCGCGUUCAAGUUUGUUGUUGUGCCUUUUUUUACAGUGGAAGAAGCAGCUCAACGGCAAAAACAAAUGAAAGCUAGAAAGCCCGAUCGUCAACCCUAUUGUCAGUGGUACUAUUAUUUCUGUAUGUGGUAUUUCGACGAUAAAGAUGCUGAAUUGGAUUGGGUUAAACAUAUACGAUUGGACGCUAAUGAAUCUAACUGCAUGUGGAUUAUUUAUACGAACAUCCUAAAACGUCAUGCUUACUACAACAAUUUUCUGUGCCUAGACUGGAUGUGAAAUAGAUUUUUUUAAUGCUAUAUCACUCUAGCAUACUGGCGUUUUUAAUGUAAUAUUUUCUAUCGCAUUUCAUUUCUUGCGUUUCAUCCUCUGCGACCUCCCUCAUGAAGGAAAUGUUUACUACCUCAUCUGAAGCAUGGACUGCCCACCGCUGUUGUCAGAGUAUGAAUUAUGUAGCAGCUAUUAUUUCGACACUCCUUUUUGUUUAGUUUCAUCUUCUGCGACUUCUUUCAACAGCUUAGUCAUGCAAAGAAGAGAAGUGUUUAAUAGUCCGUCAGAUGCCCACCGCUGUUGUCCGAGGUUAUGAAUUAUGUAGCAAUUAAUAUUUCGUCACUAUUUCCUUUUUCUUUAGUUUCGUCCUCUGCGAUUUUUUUCAACAGCUUAGUCAUGCAAAGAAGAGAAAUGUUUAAUAGUCCGUCAGAUGCCCACCGCUGUUCCGGAGUUAUGAAUUAUGUAGCAAUUAAUAUUUCGUCACUAUUUCCUUUUUCUUUAGUUUCGUCCUCUGCGGCUUCUUUCAGCAGCUUAGUCAUGGAAAAGGUAAAAUGUUUAAUACUUCGUCUGAUGCCUGAACCGCCCAUCGCUGUUGUCCGAGGUUAUGAGGCACUUUACAGUUUCGUCAGUAUUUUUAUUUAUUUAUUUAUUUAUUUAUUUAUUUAUUUAUUUAUUUUUAGUUUCAUCUUCUGCGACUUCUUUCAGCAGCUUAGUCAUGGAGAAGGUGAAAUGUCAAGUCCGUCUGAUGCAUGAAAACUGCCCUUAAAAUUUCGUUACUAUUUAUAUAUCUUCCUUUUUCUUUCUGAGUUUCAUCCUCUGAGACUUCUUUCAGCAGCUUAGUCACGCAAAAAAGGAAAACGUUUUAGCCUGCCGCUGCUCCGAGGUUAUGAGGCACUUAAAAUUUAGUUACCACAUCAUUUUCUUUUCUUCUUUUCUGAGUUUCAUCCUUUGCAAAUUCAUUUAACAGCUAAGUCAUGAAAAGAGCGAAAUGUCGAACCCCGCCGCUGUUCCGAGGUUACUAAGUGACACUAAAAAUUUCGUUACAACUUUAUAUUCGAGUUUCAUCCUCUGCAGUUUCUUUCAGCGACAGUAAGGAAACCAUGCAGGAAAAAAAAAAGAAAUACAGAAGCCCGCCGCCGUUGCUCCGAGGUUACUAAGUGGCACUAAAAAUUUCGUCACAGCUUUAUAUUCGAGUUUCUUCCUCUGUAGUUUCUUCCAGCGACAGUUAAGAAAUCAAGAAAAAAAAUAAUACAGAAGCCCGCCGCCGCUGCUCCGAGGUUAUUAAGUGGCACUAAAAAUUUCGUCACAACUUUAUAUUCGAGUUUCAUUCUCUGUAGUUUCUUCCAGCGACAGCUAAGAAACCAUGCAGGAAAAAAAGGAAAUACAGAAGCCCUCCCCCGCUGCUCCGAGGUUAUUAAGUGGCACUAGAAAUUUCGUCACAACUUUAUUUUCGAGUUUCAUCCUCUGCAGUUUCUUCCAGCGACAGUUGAGAAACCAAGAAAAAAAAAGGAAAUACAGAUGCCCGCCGCCGCUGCUCCGAGGUUAUUACGGGGCACUUAAAAUUUCGUCCCCAACCACCGCCCUGGGCACACGGACAGCAUAACAAAUAGGAGCCUUUCUAGUGACUCCCAAGCCUAGGCCCGAAUAAGCUGUGGAGUAAUUACGGAGAAACGGUCAUGACGGGAAUACAUAACACAACCUAUAGAGUAUUUUUUUUUCUACAGCAGAGGAGUCAGUUCAAGGGCAUAAAAAAAAGAAACAAACGUGAAAAAAAGCCCGCUACUCCUUUCGUAUAGUAAUCUAAUCAAAUGGGUUCGGGAAGCUAAAAAGUUGCAGAGGGACAGAUCCGUUUUCUACCAGCGACAAGAACCCUCAUCAACUGUUCUGUCGAGUAUUAUGGGAAGCUAAUACAUAAAUAAAUUAAUAAAUAAACCUUCCUUUCAUAUAUUAAUCGUAUCAAAUAGGUUCGGAGGAUUUCGGAGUAGCGAGAAAGUUGCAUAGGAUCAGCCGUUUUCUUCCAGCGACAAGAACCCACAUCAUCAGCUGGUACGUCGAGUAUUAUGGGCAGAGUUCAAGGCCAGACCGAGAGACGCCCCCGACACGCCCAGCACCCAGAGCCAACCGGGCCGAUCGCUGGGUGACUGCCGAUGCCUUGAACUCAACUUUGCUGGACUAACCGCGCGACCCGUUCUGUCUGUAUCUAAGGAUUUAUAGUAGUAGUUGUUGUAGAAGUAGUAGUAAUUAAUGUUGUUAUUGUAUUUGUAGUUACCGCCGGAUUUAUUAAACGUCGUAUUAGUAAAUAUUGACAGUGAUGUGGUUAGUUUGGCGUUGUAAUUCGAUUUUUGAGACGGAGUUAAGUAGAAAUGUUGGGUUUUGUAGCCGUAGUAGUAGUAGUAGUAGUAGUGUAUGUGUGUGUGUGUGUGUGUGUGUGUGUGUGUGUGUGUGUGUGCAAGCCAGUCAUCAGUUUGAGUUAUGACAAGAUGACCUCUUAUGACCCCGAGGCAGUGUGACCUCCACCUCGCAGCCACUCAUGGGGUGAAAGCUGGCAACCAUAGCCACCAGCGUAACCAUGAGUCACCAUACCACGGCAUGGCACUGCAGCGUGUGUGUGUGUGUGUGUGUGUGUGUGUGUGUGUGUGUAAGGAUUUGGUUGGAUUACAUUGCAUUCGUUUGGAAAAGUAUAUAUAUCUAUCUAUCUAUCAAUAUUCAUCUGUAAAUGCAUACGUAUACAUAUUGAAGCCACACAUUAAAACAAUCCUACAAUCAGCCGCGGUGAGCCUUUUAUAAUCAUAAUAAUAAUAAUAAAAAUAAUAAACUCGGUUAAACGUAAAGUUGGGAGCAUACGAUAUUGCUGUGCGUGGCGGCGGUGCUCACCUCCGUACCGUUGACCCUAACCAAACUCAGCGAGCUCAAUAAAACAAAUCUCCAGCCAACCCAGAGUACGAAAACGUUGAUUACAUGGAAUUCGCAUCAAGCCACGUUCCAGGUUCGUCCAGGCUGGUGGAAGGGGGAGGUCGG